UUAAAUCUCUCUUGCCUGUCUUCAUUUGUCGUCCGUAUACAUUUUGAGAUACUCUAGUUAUAAAAAAAACGUAAACAAACAAUGUAAAUAAUGAGACUGUUCGUAAAAUUUCUCAUUUUUAUUCGAUUUUAGAAAUAUUAAUUCCAUUAAUAUGAAAUACCAAGGACUGCCACGUGAUGGGAAAAAUUACUGUGCUGUGGCAGGAUGUUCUAGCUACCGAUAUGAUGUAUCAGGCACUUCGUUUUUCAAAAUAUUCUCCGCAAAAAGGGAGAAAGUCGAUGAAUGGGUUGAGUUCUGCCAAAAUCCUUCGAUAUCAAGAAACAGCGUAAUUUGUGGAAGGCAUUUUCAGAAGGCUGAUUUCUGCAAUCCCGAUAGUUCAGGGUCCAGGUUAAGGUUACACCUAUCUGUACGCCCUACCCUUCAUCCACCUGCGAGUAUUAUGGACAUAAAACCAGAAAAUCAUAGUCAGGUCUGCCAAACGACUAGUUUAGUGAAAAAUGAAGCCAACUGUAUUCCGAACGAUGGUGCACAUGACCUAAAGCUUGAAAUCAAAAUAGAACCACCAGAAGUGAACUUUUAGGUUUAAGACAAUGGUUUUAUAAUAUCAAUGAAAUUAGGCCAUU